UAUUCUGUAGAUUCCAGUGUUCCAAAAUUCUAAGUAUGGAGUUAUACUGAAUAAUUAACUUUGAUAUUAUGACACCUGUCAUCUUGAGAAAGUGGCUAAGCUGUCAAGAAUUGUAGAAGCCUGAAAUAUUUGUUUUCUCUUACAUCAAUGGAG